UAGGGAAUCUUCCACAAUGGACGAAAGUCUGAUGGAGCAACGCCGCGUGAGUGAAGAAGGUUUUCGGAUCGUAAAGCUCUGUUGUUGGUGAAGAAGGAUAGAGGCAGUAACUGGUCUUUAUUUGACGGUAAUCAACCAGAAAGUCACGGCUAACUACGUGCCAGCAGCCGCGGUAAUACGUAGGUGGCAAGCGUUGUCCGGAUUUAUUGGGCGUAAAGCGAGCGCAGGCGGAAUGAUAAGUCUGAUGUGAAAGCCCGACGGCUCAACC
rnacentral:rRNA from 1 species